GCCGGGAGUCGGGCGGGCGAUGCCGUCGCCAACCUGGUCAGGUCCGGAAGGAAGCAGCCACAACGAUUUCGUAUCGGGUCGUUCCGGCUCCCACCUUU
rnacentral:SRP_RNA from 1 species